GACAGGUGGUGCAUGGUUGUCGUCAGCUCGUGUCGUGAGAUGUUGGGUUAAGUCCCGCAACGAGCGCAACCCUUAAGCUUAGUUGCCAUCAUUAAGUUGGGCACUCUAAGUUGACUGCCGGUGACAAACCGGAGGAAGGUGGGGAUGACGUCAAAUCAUCAUGCCCCUUAUGAUUUGGGCUACACACGUGCUACAAUGGACA
rnacentral:rRNA from 4 species